GACGAACGCUGGCGGCGUGCUUAACACAUGCAAGUCGAACGGAAAGACCCUGCUUUUGUGGGGUGCUCGAGUGGCGAACGGGUGAGUAACACGUGAGUAACCUGCCCUUGACUUUGGGAUAACUUCAGGAAACUGGGGCUAAUACCGGAUAGGAGCUCCUGCUGCAUGGUGGGGGUUGGAAAGUUUCGGCGGUUGGGGAUGGACUCGCGGCUUAUCAGCUUGUUGGUGGGGUAGUGGCUUACCAAGGCUUUGACGGGUAGCCGGCCUGAGAGGGUGACCGGCCACAUUGGGACUGAGAUACGGCCCAGACUCCUACGGGAGGCAGCAGUGGGGAAUAUUGCACAAUGGGCGGAAGCCUGAUGCAGCAACGCCGCGUGCGGGAUGACGGCCUUCGGGUUGUAAACCGCUUUCGCCUGUGACAAAGCGUGAGUGACGGUAAUGGGUAAAGAAGCACCGGCUAACUACGUG
rnacentral:rRNA from 1 species